rnacentral:lncRNA from 10 species
UGCACCCAAGCCGUCAUGGUCGGCUUGCCUCCGCUUGUCCAGAAGUCUCCAGGCUUGGGGCCCUGAUUGCCAGCCGGUGACACUUGGUCUCCCAGCAGCUGCCCCUUGAGGGGAGCGAAGCAAGGUCAAGUUCUCCAGCAAACCCCAUCCGCCCCUCCCUCCUCCCCGCCAGAUCAGUGUGGGAUCGGCAGCGCCUCCCCCCGUAGCCCCUCCCUCCAGCCAUCCCGGCGCUGCCCACCCACCACACCGCUAGCGCCUCUGAACCUCGCCAGGCACGUCCGGUUCUGCGGCCCCCACUCCGCCCCCGCCUGCCGGGAGCCGCGCAGUUACAAAGUGCCGGGAGCCGUGCAGGGCCAGUGAACCCCUCGCUGAGACUCAGUUUGCUGCCAUCACAAGUGCUCUGAGAAUCCUGGAGAGGGAGGAUAUUGGAGACAAACGGGACUGCUGCCCGCCUUUUAGGCGACCGUUGGAGGCUGCUCUGUGCCGGACACAGGCAGGCUCCCACAGCUCAGAAGUCAGCGGAGCAGAGUCCCCAGGAAACCAGGGUCAGGGAUGGAGGCUGCUGAGGAGCGGGUCUGGGAGGUGGAGGCCAGAUACAAGAAAACCACAGUACCAGUAAAUGACAAAGGCUGGAUCUUAACCCAAGUCCUCCGACUCUGAAGGCCAUACCCAACAGGUCCCAUUUUAUUUGUUUUACUUUUUUUUAAUUGAAGAAAAAAAAACUAGCAUUCCCCUACAGUGCCCCCCACCUGGUGGGGACAUCUUGGGUUGGCAAGGCCACCACUUUCAAGAGUAGAAGUGUUUUUCAGCAGGAGGAGUUGGCUGCACCAAAGGAGCUCAGGAGAAGCUGGAGUCUCAGGCCCAGCAGGAACAGCCAGAGGUUUUGCAGCUUUGCCCAGCGGCUGGGUUCGCCGAAGGGUCUCCCUGGGGGUUCCCAGCAUGAGCCGAAGCCACCCUCCCCUGUGGGAUCUGUGAGGCCAGGCAUUGGGCCUCUUUAGGCCUCAGUUUCCUCCCCUGUCAUAGGCAACUGACAGUCCCUCUGGAGCGCCACUGGGGCUGCAGAGGGAGGCCGGAGAGAUGGUGCCCCCCCUCCUCCCCGCCACCCCCACACACAGCCCUCAGCAGGAUGGUGGCUGCCUGGCCGAUUGCUUUUGCAUUUGCAGCAGAGCGGGGGAGUGAGGCCAAGCUGAGUGCCCCCUCCCCCUGCCCAGCCAGCUCAGACCCAGGCGGUGGAGCAGGAAGGCUCUGGGGAAAACAGUGUGAGUCACCGGGCGGCCAGAGUGUGUCCUUCCCUGCUAGCGCACUACACGGCAGGUUUCAUAGGUAAUGAUGUCAUUUAUGAGGCUCCCGCUUGGGGCUGUGUCUGAGUCAGCCUGGCUGUGUCGUGACCAAGCGGAGGCUGGCAGCAGCGAGGCGUGGGCACGGGCUCUGCCGCCGGGCUCUGGCCUCUGCCCCCUCGUGGGGCCCAGGCUGCCAGCCCCAGGCCUGGAACGGGCAGGCAGUGGGGCUGGGGGAGCCGUUUGAGACCUCGGAUUGAUGAAGAAGCAUGCAUUUUCGUGACCCUGGCUCCUGCCUUGGAACGGGGGGCUCGCAUGCAGUGGAGGGGGACCCAGGAGUGAGCCCCGACUUCAGGAGGUUGCUCCCUGCAAAGUGCUUGUUGGGCGAAGGCCAGUGACAUUCUGUGCGAAUCCCUGCUGAAGGCAGAUGGCCUCCGUUGUUAAACCUCCCGCUUAACAAACAUCAUCUCCGAACAUACAGACACACAAACAUAUUUACAUUUUUAUAAUGUGUAUUUAUUAUUCAAAUAGCUUGACAGCAAAGUGUUUGAAAACGAAGAGCAGGAAUUCCGCGGUUCCUGCCCGGCCUCGCCAUCCAGCUGGGAGAAGAGCAUGGUCAUUUCCUUCACUUAGUCCACGGCCACUCGGCGCUCAUCCCCAGCACAGCCCUCCCCAGGCUGCGGCAAAGACUGUUGCUGUCCUGCUGAGGGAUGUGCCCCCGGGGAUUCAAUCGAGAUUCUUGAGGUGGGAGAAGCCGCAGAUUGGGGUCUGCUGAG